AACAAGCAGGAGAGACGGCGAAGAGGGCAAGUGGCUGAGGGGCCUUGGGGCUGGGCAGGGGGCAAUGGGGAGUCACAUGAGGUGCCUCUGGGGUGCCCCUCCAGGCAGUGGGGCCCCCAGACAACUGUCUCCCCUUGCCCUAUCAUUGUUACGCGCCUGGGGCCGACUUCCUAAAAGCUAUUCUACAUAUUAUAUAGAGCUGAACUCACAGGUCACUGAGGGCUAAAGAAUUUGGAGCCAAACUCCUGAACUUUCCUGAUUUCCAGAAGAGCAAUGAACAGGAUAUCCUGCCUGUACAUUUAUUUCAAAUAGGAUACCUAUACUUCCUCCAAGUGGUUUUAUAUUAUGUAUCAUCCCAACAAUCUUGUGAG